AUACCAUGAUGUUGACACUUUCUUAAUAAUUCAUUAAAUCACUCCCAAGAAUCAUACAGUAACUCUCCUUACAUCUGGUAAAAAGUAUUAAUCUAUCCCCUUAGUUU